CCCAGGCGUGGUGGCACGUGCCUGUAGUCCCAGCUACUCGGGAGGCUGAGGUGGGAGGAUCGCUUGAGCCCAGGAGUUCUGGGCUAUAGUAUGUUAUGCUGAUCCGGUGUCCGCACCAACUUCAGCAUCAAUAUGGUGACCUCCCGGGAGCGGGGGGCCACCAGGUUGCCUAAGGAGGGGUGAACCGGCCCAGGUCAGAAAUGGAGCAGGUCAAAACUCCUGUGCUGAUCAGUAGUGGGAUCAAGCCUGUGAAUAGCCACUGCACUCCAGCCUGGGCAACAUAGUGAGACUCCGUCUCU
rnacentral:SRP_RNA from 1 species